rnacentral:rRNA from 1 species
UACGUAGGGGGCAAGCGUUGUCCGGAUUUACUGGGCGUAAAGAGCGUGUAGGCGGCCAUGCAGGUCCGUUGUGAAAACUGGAGGCUUAACCUCCAGACGUCGACGGAAACCGCGUGGCUAGAGUCCGGAAGAGGAGAGUGGAAUUCCUGGGUGUAGCGGUGAAAUGCGCAGAUAUCAGGAAGAACACCAAUGGCGAAGGCAGCUCUCGUGGGACGGUACUGAGCUGAGACGCGAAAGCUAGGGGAGCGAACAGG